UACGUAGGGGGCAAGCGUUGUCCGGAAUCAUUGGGCGUAAAGAGCGUGUAGGCGGCCCGGUAAGUCCGCUGUGAAAGUCCAGGGCUCAACCCUGGGAUGCCGGUGGAUACUGUCGGGCUCGAGUCCGGAAGAGGAGUGUGGAAUUCCUGGUGUAGCGGUGAAAUGCGUAGAUAUCAGGAGGAACACCGGUGGUGUAGACGGCUUUCUGGACCGCAACUGACGCUGAGACACGAAAGCGUGGGUAGCAAACAGG
rnacentral:rRNA from 1 species